rnacentral:rRNA from 1 species
GGGUUGUGAGGUUAAGCGACUAAGCGUACACGGUGGAUGCCCUGGCAGUCAGAGGCGAUGAAGGGCGUGCUAAUCUGCGAUAAGCGCCGGUAAGGUGAUAUGAACCGUUAUAACCGGCGAUACCCGAAUGGGGAAACCCAGUGUGAUUCGUCACACUAUCAUUAACUGAAUCCAUAGGUUAAUGAGGCGAACCGGGGGAACUGAAACAUCUAAGUACCCCGAGGAAAAGAAAUCAACCGAGAUUCCCCCAGUAGCGGCGAGCGAACGGGGAGGAGCCCAGAGCCUGAAUCAGCAUGUGUGUUAGUGGAAGCGUCUGGAAAGGCGCGCGAUACAGGGUGACAGCCCCGUACACAAAAGCGCAUGUGCUGUGAGCUCGAUGAGUAGGGCGGGACACGUGGUAUCCUGUCUGAAUAUGGGGGGACCAUCCUCCAAGGCUAAAUACUCCUGACUGACCGAUAGUGAACCAGUACCGUGAGGGAAAGGCGAAAAGAACCCCGGCGAGGGGAGUGAAAAAGAACCUGAAACCGUGUACGUACAAGCAGUGGGAGCACAGGUUUACCUGUGUGACUGCGUACCUUUUGUAUAAUGGGUCAGCGACUUAUAUUCUGUAGCAAGGUUAACCGAAUAGGGGAGCCGGAGGGAAACCGAGUCUUAAUUGGGCGUUAAGUUGCAGGGUAUAGACCCGAAACCCGGUGAUCUAGCCAUGGGCAGGUUGAAGGUUGGGUAACACUAACUGGAGGACCGAACCGACUAAUGUUGAAAAAUUAGCGGAUGACCUGUGGCUGGGGGUGAAAGGCCAAUCAAACCGGGAGAUAGCUGGUUCUCCCCGAAAGCUAUUUAGGUAGCGCCUCGUGAAUUCAUCUCCGGGGGUAGAGCACUGUUUCGGCUAGGGGGCCAUCCCGGCUUACCAACCCGAUGCAAACUGCGAAUACCGGAGAAUGUUAUCACGGGAGACACACGGCGGGUGCUAACGUCCGUCGUGAAGAGGGAAACAACCCAGACCGCCAGCUAAGGUCCCAAAGUCAUGGUUAAGUGGGAAACGAUGUGGGAAGGCCCAGACAGCCAGGAUGUUGGCUUAGAAGCAGCCAUCAUUUAAAGAAAGCGUAAUAGCUCACUGGUCGAGUCGGCCUGCGCGGAAGAUGUAACGGGGCUAAACCAUGCACCGAAGCUGCGGCAGCGACGCUUAUGCGUUGUUGGGUAGGGGAGCGUUCUGUAAGCCUGUGAAGGUGUGUCGUGAGGCAUGCUGGAGGUAUCAGAAGUGCGAAUGCUGACAUAAGUAACGAUAAAGCGGGUGAAAAGCCCGCUCGCCGGAAGACCAAGGGUUCCUGUCCAACGUUAAUCGGGGCAGGGUGAGUCGACCCCUAAGGCGAGGCCGAAAGGCGUAGUCGAUGGGAAACGGGUUAAUAUUCCCGUACUUGGUGUUACUGCGAAGGGGGGACGGAGAAGGCUAUGUUGGCCGGGCGACGGUUGUCCCGGUUUAAGCGUGUAGGUGUGUGUUCCAGGUAAAUCCGGUUCACUUUAACACUGAGGCGUGAUGACGAGGCACUACGGUGCUGAAGUAACAAAUGCCCUGCUUCCAGGAAAAGCCUCUAAGCAUCAGGUAACAUCAAAUCGUACCCCAAACCGACACAGGUGGUCAGGUAGAGAAUACCAAGGCGCUUGAGAGAACUCGGGUGAAGGAACUAGGCAAAAUGGUGCCGUAACUUCGGGAGAAGGCACGCUGACACGUAGGUGAAGUGAUUUACUCAUGGAGCUGAAGUCAGUCGAAGAUACCAGCUGGCUGCAACUGUUUAUUAAAAACACAGCACUGUGCAAACACGAAAGUGGACGUAUACGGUGUGACGCCUGCCCGGUGCCGGAAGGUUAAUUGAUGGGGUCAGCGCAAGCGAAGCUCCUGAUCGAAGCCCCGGUAAACGGCGGCCGUAACUAUAACGGUCCUAAGGUAGCGAAAUUCCUUGUCGGGUAAGUUCCGACCUGCACGAAUGGCGUAAUGAUGGCCAGGCUGUCUCCACCCGAGACUCAGUGAAAUUGAACUCGCUGUGAAGAUGCAGUGUACCCGCGGCAAGACGGAAAGACCCCGUGAACCUUUACUAUAGCUUGACACUGAACAUUGAGCCUUGAUGUGUAGGAUAGGUGGGAGGCUUU